ACAUCCAGAGAACUUAGCAGAGAUGCUUUGGUGCCUUCGGGAACUCUGAGACAGGUGCUGCAUGGCUGUCGUCAGCUCGUGUUGUGAAAUGUUGGGUUAAGUCCCGNAACGAGCGCAACCCUUAUCCUUUGUUGCCAGCGGUUCGGCCGGGAACUCAAAGGAGACUGCCGGUGAUAAACCGGAGGAAGGUGGGGAUGACGUCAAGUCAUCAUGGCCCUUACGGCCAGGGCUACACGCGUGCUACAAUGGCGCAUACAAAGAGAAGCGACCUCGCGAGAGCAAGCGGACCUCAUAAAGUGCGUCGUAGUCCGGAUUGGAGUCUGCAACUCGACUCCAUGAAGUCGGAAUCGCUAGUAAUCGUAGAUCAGAAUGCUACGGUGAAUACGUUCCCGGGCCUUGUACACACCGCCCGUCACACCAUGGGAGUGGGUUGCAAAAGAAGUAGGUAGCUUAACCUUCGGGAGGGCGCUUACCACUUUGUGAUUCAUGACUGGGGUGAAGUCGUAACAAGGUAGGCGUAGCGAG
rnacentral:rRNA from 1 species